UACGGAGGGUGCGAGCGUUGUCCGGAAUCACUGGGCGUAAAGGGCGCGUAGGCGGCUCAUGAAGGCUGUGGUGAAAGUCCGGGGCUCAACCUCGGAUCGGCCGUGGCGACUCGUGGGCUGGAGCACUGUAGAGGCGGGUGGAAUUCCGGGUGUAGCGGUGGAAUGCGUAGAGAUCCGGAAGAACACCAGUGGCGAAGGCGGCCCGCUGGGCUGUUGCUGACGCUGAGGCGCGACAGCGUGGGGAGCAAACAGG
rnacentral:rRNA from 1 species